rnacentral:rRNA from 1 species
UACGGAGGGGACUAGCGUUGUUCGGAAUUACUGGGCGUAAAGCGCACGUAGGCGGAUUUGUAAGUCAGGGGCGAAAUCCCGGGGCUCAACCUCGGAACUGCCUUUGAUACUGCAAAUCUCGAGUCCGGAAGAGGUGAGUGGAAUUCCUAGUGUAGAGGUGAAAUUCGUAGAUAUUAGGAAGAACACCAGUGGCGAAGGCGGCUCACUGGUCCGGUACUGACGCUGAGGUGCGAAAGCGUGGGGAGCAAACAGGG